AAUAUGUAAUUGUUUGCUGAUGUGAACCAAAGUCUUAUUGUUUGUCGUUGUGAAGCAAAGUCCACUCGACAUUAUGGUUCCUUCCACUUAUAGUAUGUUAAACAUGGACGACAAUUUUCACUCUAUAAUGGAAAUUCUUGAUGGCCUAUUGGGUUACUAUCAUAUUUUGAAUUUGUGAUCUUGGUGCUCAUAGUGAAACUCGAAGGACCAAGAGUACCAUCUACUGGCUAAUCAGACAUUUCGGAGAUGAAUGAGGAGUUAAGACUAUAAGGAAAUUCCAUACUAGCUAAGUAUAGUUUUUUUUUUUUUUUGAAUGGACUAAGUAUAGCUAGUUUAUAGGAGAUAAUUAAGUUAUCUACAAUUGUGUAUAAAACCUGUGUACCUUUGAUCGAUAAUCAUUUACUUCUCCUUAUUGCUUUCUAUCUAUCAAGAAUUGUUUUCUCAUAAAUCUUGUAGCUGUAGGAGGUUGAUCAUCUUAAUGAUUUGGAUGGUCUUUUCCAGAACAAUGGCUUUAAAGGUGUUUACAAGGAUCGCACAGGGGAAGCACGUGAUGGAUGUGCUAUAUUUUGGAAAAAGACAAAUUAUUUGACCUUUUGCAUCAAGAAUAUAGAGUUUCAGAUAUUUGGCCUGCGAUGUAGCCUCGCUUUGUGUUUUUGAGGUAUUUAGGGCUUGUUUUCUAUUUUUCUUAUUGUUUCCUACCUAUGUUUUAUAUUUGCUUUGUUCUCCUUUUUUCGAAAGGAUUAUGAUCCUUGAUGAUUUUUUUUACCCUAUGUCAUAAAUUCCUUUUUAUGUAAAUGUGUUUUUUCUUCGUUCAAUUGAACC